AAAAUAUCCUUUCAAUUUUAUUCAACCAAUUGUAUUCUUCAUAUUAUAAAAUAAUAUCAAAUAAUGCCACGGAAUUCUAGCAAAUCUUGUCUGCUAAAUCAACUAGUGCAGGCCACAGCCACAUGGCAUAGCCAGAUCAGGGCCUAACACAGAGUAUGCUACCCUGUUCUGAAAUAGACCACAUUUUCUUCAUGUCAUGUUUCUUUAGACCUGUCUAAAAUAAAUAAUGGAUUUAUUGUGAUGGUGUAGGCUAUAUUACAUGGAUUUAUUGUGAAGGUGUAGGCUAUAUUACAUGGAUUUAUUGUGAAGGUGUAGGCUAUAUUACAUGGAUUUAUUGUGAAGGUGUAGGCUAUAUUACAUGGAUUUAUUGUGAAGGUGUAGGCUAUAUUACAUGGAUUUAUUGUGAUGGUGUAGGCUAUAUUACAUGGAUUUAUUGUGAUGGUGUAGGCUAUAUUACAUGGAUUUAUUGUGAAGGUGUAGGCUAUAUUACAUGGAUUUAUUGUGAUGGUGUAGGCUAUAUUACAUGGAUUUAUUGUGAAGGUGUAGGCUAUAUUACAUGGAUUUAUUGUGAAGGUGUAGGCUAUAUUACAUGGAUUUAUUGUGAAGGUGUAGGCUAUAUUACAUGGAUUUAUUGUGAAGGUGUAGGCUAUAUUACAUGGAUUUAUUGUGAAGGUGUAGGCUAUAUUACAUGGAUUUAUUGUGAAGGUGUAGGCUAUAUUACAUGGAUUUAUUGUGAAGGUGUAGGCUAUAUUACAUGGAUUUAUUGUGAAGGUGUAGACUAUAUUACAUGGAUUUAUUGUGAAGGUGUAGGCUAUAUUACAUGGAUUUAUUGUGAAGGUGUAGGCUAUAUUACAUGGAUUUAUUGUGAAGGUGUAGGCUAUAUUACAUGGAUUUAUUGUGAAGGUGUAGGCUAUAUUACAUGGAUUUAUUGUGAAGGUGUAGGCUAUAUUACAUGGAUUUAUUGUGAAGGUGUA